GACUCGUCACACUAUCAUUAACUGAAUCCAUAGGUUAAUGAGGCGAACCGGGGGAACUGAAACAUCUAAGUACCCCGAGGAAAAGAAAUCAACCGAGAUUCCCCCAGUAGCGGCGAGCGAACGGGGAGGAGCCCAGAGCCUGAAUCAGCAUGUGUGUUAGUGGAAGCGUCUGGAAAGGCGCGCGAUACAGGGUGACAGCCCCGUACACAAAAGCGCAUGUGCUGUGAGCUCGAUGAGUAGGGCGGGACACGUGGUAUCCUGUCUGAAUAUGGGGGGACCAUCCUCCAAGGCUAAAUACUCCUGACUGACCGAUAGUGAACCAGUACCGUGAGGGAAAGGCGAAAAGAACCCCGGCGAGGGGAGUGAAAAAGAACCUGAAACCGUGUACGUACAAGCAGUGGGAGCCCCACCACUAAGCCAGUGGUGAACUCCACAUACGCAUCCUUUGCUGAGGAUACGGUUAACGGAGCGAAAGCGACGUUCAACCGCAAAAGAAGCAGA
rnacentral:rRNA from 1 species